rnacentral:tmRNA from 1 species
GGGGCCGUAUUGGUUUUGACAGCAGAGUUCUUUGUAAGUGUAAGCAUGCAGUGCGUUGUAUAAUUAGCACUUAAAUCUGAAUAUUCAAACUUUAACUGGCAAUACACAAUUUGCCAUGGCUGCCUAAUCAGUGAUUUGACAGUCAUUAGGGCUGCUGCAUAGGUUUGCUUUUUACCAAAUGCCGCCGCCGACUCAAAACAAAUAAAAGCUGCUGUUGCAAUAGGCUGUGCUUGCAACAAAAGAUUAUUCAGCUAAGGAAAUAAUUGGUUUGUUGGCUUCCUGCUAUUUCCCUACAAAUAAUAAUCAACUAAGCAUGUAGAAAGUUUAUAACGAAUUUGUUUGGACAAGGGUUCGAGUCCCUUCGGCUCCACAU